rnacentral:rRNA from 1 species
CCUGCAUGCAGCGACGCCGCGUGAGGGAUGACGGCCUUCGGGUUGUAAACCUCUUUCACCUAGGGAAGAAGCGAGAGUGACGGUACCUGCAGAAGAAGCGCCGGCUAACUACGUGCCAGCAGCCGCGGUAAU